UUUUUUUAUUUAAAAAAAAAAAGAAAAAGAAAAGAAAAAAGCUGCGGUUACUUACAACAGCAAUGCUCUCUUCAAUCAAUCUCUCACGUGCCGCGACUGCCGGCAUUGUCCUUACACACGUGUGCCCCACUCAACCUCCCCCUUAUUAUAAUCUCUCUCUCUCUCCCUCUCUUCUCCUUACGAACGAACGCUUCUCUCGUCCUCUUUUAACAACUCCCGUCCUUCCCCUCUCUUUUCAACGCAGCUCGCCAUGUCGGUCAGUAGGAUCACGUCCUUGUAUUUUUUUUUUGUUCUUAAUUUAUUCUGAAUCGAGCAAUUUCGACCUCUGAUUGAUUAAUAUGCAUAGAUCUAUUUUCUGCUUUGCAAUUUCUUUUUUGUGCAAUCUUAAAGCUGUGUUGCUUGCUAUAAAUUAUUUUUUUGGUUUAUUUGUAUGCGUUGUUUCUAAAGAUAUUUUUGUUUGUUUGGUUACUGAAAUAUUAGAUUUUCAUUAUUAAUUUCUUAUCUCGAUUGAUACCGAUAUGAUUUGCUGUUACUAAAAUAUAUCUUUGUUCGGUGACGAUGAGUGUAUCAGUGCGGGAUAAAUCUUUCAAUGGCCUCAAUGCUUGCGACGAGGAAGUUUAGUG
rnacentral:lncRNA from 1 species